AGGGCAAGGAGAAGGGAGAGAAGCGGGCCAAGGCAUGGGUGUGUUUGCCAAUUCCAUGGGUUCCAUUUCGGAGAUGAUGAUGCUAUUGCUGCUACCGCUAGUUACUACUGGUGUUGCAGACUGGAGAAGGCUGGCAAAGAGUUCUGUGCUCGUCCGGUUGGUCAUCGGAUCGGUGCUCGUACAGAUCGGCUUCUUCUUCUUCUUCAGGGAGUUCCAAAAGUUCUUUAUGUCAUUGUCAGUGCGGCCCGGGAGGUGCGCGGCGAUAGUCGACCACCUAAGGAAACAAGAAGAAAGAGGCGAGCCAUACGUUCGAUGUUUGGAAUCCAGGCGACCUAAGGCAGGGUUGUGGAGCUGAGGUUGUACCUGUUGCCAUGGAUGGAAUGGAGAUGAAGAAUGGUGUUCUCUUCU